UAACAGAGACUUUUUCGUAAAUC
rnacentral:piRNA from 1 species